UUUGACCUGAGGCAUCACAGUUGUCUUGUGGUUAAGUCCUUGAUCUUUGAUUAUGUCAAAGUCACCCUAUCGGGGUGUCCACGGCAUCGUUGGGGUUAAGCCACUUAGUCAUGGAGGCAAGUGAAUGCGCAACAAGGGAUCUCUAACCUUCAAACUGUUUAAGGGAGAAUACUCUAUGAUAUGAUUUAGAAUCUCUGGCCAGAGUAUGAAUGAGAUUUAGGAAGUCGUUCUAAAUCACAUUCAAGGAAAUCAUAUAAGCACACGAAUCACAUUGGAUAGUAGACAUGAACUUAUAAACUAUCAAACCAAACAAUGUGGUCAAGAGUAUUAGAUUAGAGAAAGACCGUAUUGCAUUUGUAAUCCCAAACUGAAUAGGUUCUCUACCUCUUCUGAUUAGCUUGGGUAACCAUGAUAUGCUGCAAGGUGUCACUCAUGGUUUGUGG
rnacentral:lncRNA from 1 species